rnacentral:lncRNA from 1 species
UGUGGAUUUGUUUCAUUCAACAAAAUGGAAGGGUCCCCUGAGACAUGGGCAAAGACAUCUACUGGGUUGUGCAUCCCUCUUUAGGGAGACCCCUGGACAUCCUCCAGCCAGGCCCCCUCCCAAAGGACAAAGACUCCAGGACAGCUCCAAACAGGCCAUGACAGUGAGCAAUGUAUAUACACGGAGUCUGGGAUCUAUGCCAUAUCAACACUGGUUUCUAGGGCCUGUGCUGGCAUCUUCUCUAGCAAUAGAACAUGGCUAAGACAGAGUCUCUGUCUAAGAAAUGAGAGGAGGAAAUCUAUACAGGAAGGAAAGGACUGAGCCCUGUAGCAUCCCAGCAUCCUGAGCUCAGAAUGAAGACGAAACAUCAUCAGAGGAGCCUGAGCUGGAGGGAUGAGAAAAACUAGGCCUUCAAGAACGAAGCAGUCAUUCUGUGGGAGGCUGCUCAUGGGUUGGCUGAGAGGCUGAGGUGAAGAAGGCCCAAGCAGGAGGACCUGAGUUCAGUCCCAGCAUCCACAUAAAAGCUAUAUCUGUGCAUCUCAGGGGCGUUUGUAAACCAAACUCUGGAGGGGCAAAGCCAAGAGGAUAUUUGGAUGCUUCCUGGCCAGCCAGACUAGCUGAGUCAGUGAGCUGAAUCGGAGCAGUGAGCGAUCCUGCCUCAAGAGGAAGAUGAAGAAUGACUUAGGAGGUACUGACAUUGACCCCUGGACUCUCCAGGCAUGUACACAGGUGCAAUGCACCUGCAUCUACAAGUGUACCCAUGCAUUAAAUUAGAAACAACCGAUUAGAUGUUUAACUAUUGCAAUCUGUGGACUCCGAUGCCCUUACCAACUGCAGUUUUUAGUGAAACACUGAGAAUGGAAUUCUAUCUAGAAAAAUGUGGACUUUCUACAUCUUGUCAUGCUGGAUCCUGAAAGAGCACAGUGGCCUUACCAAGGUGAGGCAGGAAUAGAUUUUCAACCCUGCAGUAGAUGAUACUCGUGGGGUUCACACUGUGGAAGGAGAGGCUGAGGAGAGAGAAGACCCAUGGAGCUCAAAGGGUGAGAGUUUCCAUUAAUCAAUGACUGAGAGCCGGUUCUUCCUGGGUGGAGUGGGGAGCUCCCAGUCUUUUCAGAGAGUGACUUCUCUCACCAAGAGGACUGAAUGCUUGGGC